CUUGCAGGGUACUCGAGUGGCGAACGGGUGAGUAACACGUGGGUGAUCUGCCCUGCACUUCGGGAUAAGCUUGGGAAACUGGGUCUAAUACCGGAUAGGAACCAUCUUUAGUGUGGUUGUUGGAAAGUUUUUUCGGUGUAGGAUGAGCUCGCGGCCUAUCAGCUUGUUGGUGGGGUAAUGGCCUACCAAGGCGGCGACGGGUAGCCGGCCUGAGAGGGUGUACGGCCACAUUGGGACUGAGAUACGGCCCAG
rnacentral:rRNA from 1 species